rnacentral:rRNA from 1 species
AACGAACGCUGGCGGCAGGCCUAACACAUGCAAGUCGAGCGAGGACUUCGGUCCUAGCGGCGGACGGGUGAGUAACGCGUGGGAACGUGCCCUUUGCUUCGGAAUAGCCCUGGGAAACUGGGAGUAAUACCGGAUGAGCCCUUUGGGGGAAAGAUUUAUCGGCGAAGGAUCGGCCCGCGUUGGAUUAGGUAGUUGGUGGGGUAAUGGCCUACCAAGCCGACGAUCCAUAGCUGGUUUGAGAGGAUGAUCAGCCACACUGGGACUGAGAAACGGCCCAGACUCCUACGCGAGGCAGGAGUGGGGAAUCUUAGAAAAUGGGGGAAACCAUGAUCGAGCCAUGCCGGGUGAGCGAUGAAGGCCUUAGGGUUGUAAAGCUCUUUAAGCUGGGAAGAUAAUGACGGUACCAGCAGAAGAAGCCCCGGCUAACUCCGUG